rnacentral:rRNA from 1 species
GACGAACCGUGCGAACGUUGUUCGGAAUCACUGGGCUUAAAGGGCGCGUAGGCGGGCUGCCAAGUCCGGGGUGAAAUCUUUCGGCUCAACCGGAAAAGUGCCUUGGAUACUGGCGGCCUUGAGGGAGGUAGGGGUAUGUGGAACUUCCGGUGGAGCGGUGAAAUGCGUUGAUAUCGGAAGGAACGCCGGUGGCGAAAGCGACGUACUGGACCUCUUCUGACGCUGAGGCGCGAAAGCUAGGGGAGCGAACGGG